rnacentral:rRNA from 49 species
GGUGAGUAAUGCCUAGGAAAUUGCCCUGAUGUGGGGGAUAACCAUUGGAAACGAUGGCUAAUACCGCAUGAUGCCUACGGGCCAAAGAGGGGGACCUUCGGGCCUCUCGCGUCAGGAUAUGCCUAGGUGGGAUUAGCUAGUUGGUGAGGUAAGGGCUCACCAAGGCGACGAUCCCUAGCUGGUCUGAGAGGAUGAUCAGCCACACUGGAACUGAGACACGGUCCAGACUCCUACGGGAGGCAGCAGUGGGGAAUAUUGCACAAUGGGCGCAAGCCUGAUGCAGCCAUGCCGCGUGUGUGAAGAAGGCCUUCGGGUUGUAAAGCACUUU